CAUCGUAAAUCAGUCUCAACCCCAAACAUAUGUCAAAUAUUUUAUGCUUUUCAGUAGAAGCCCACUAAAGCUUGCAUGGGCCUUUGAUCAAGGGACUCUAAAGCCCGAUAAGUGUUUUUUUAUAUGCACAUACUUAUCGAAACAAAACGUUUGUUGAUUAAACCUAGCCGCCGGAGAGAGAAUUACUUCUAGGGGAAAAAAAAAAAAAAAGCGAGAAAGUCAAAUCCAUGGAGUUUGGUGGCUUAAAACCAUGUACCAGUAACUCCCCUGACUCGAGCCGGAAGCGCAACCGGAAGCGAAAACCGGCGGAGCUGGGGGAGAGUGACGGCUUAUCUGGCAAGAAGCUGAAGCGGAUAUCGGCUUUGGCCGAAGCUGCUGCGAAGAUCGAUCCUUCGCAUCUUGCGGAUUUCUUUGCCAAACCGGUUCCAUUAUCUGAUAUUCCUCAACCUAUCUAUAAAGCAUCAGUCAAUUGGAUCAAACAGCAUCCAUUUGGGGACCUCAGUCAUUUGGGCAAUUGAACGUAUUAUCCGCGAACAACAUACUUUUGGGGUGGCAGCAUUUGUUGCAUUAGCAAUGGUAUUGCGUACUAAACCUGAUGUUUUGACCACUCUAUUGCCGAUGCUGAGGGAGAGAAUUAUGUUUCAAGGACAGGACAAGCUUCCGGUUACAGUUUGGUUAAU